rnacentral:rRNA from 1 species
UUUGAUGGGAAAAAUGGGGGGACGCCCCCACCUCCUCCAACAAAUUAGGGAAUAGGGCUUCCUCUUGGGUACCAGAGGGACAGGUGGAGCAUAAAAUUCGACAGCUCGUGUCGUGAGAUGUGGGGUUAAGUCCCGCAACGAGCGCAACCCUUGAUCUUAGUUGCCAUCAUUAAGUUGGGCACUCUAAGGUGACUGCCGGUGACAAACCGGAGGAAGGUGGGGAUGACGUCAAAUCAUCAUGCCCCUUAUGACCUGGGCUACACACGUGCUACAAUGGACGGUACAAAGAGCUGCAAGACCGCGAGGUGGAGCCAAUCUCAUAAAACCGAUCUCAGUUCCGAUUGUAGGCUGCAAAUCGCCUACAUGAAGCUGGAAUCGCUAGUAAUCGCGGAUCAGCAUGCCGCGGUGAAUACGUUCCCCGGUCUUGUACACACCCAAA